AGCAGUCGCCACGGGAAUACGAAGGGGGCUAGCGUUGCUCGGAAUGACUGGGCGUAAAGGGCGCGUAGGCGGUUUGUACAGUUGGAUGUGAAAUUCCUGGGCUUAACCUGGGGGCUGCAUUCAAUACGUGCAGGCUUGAGUGUGGAAGAGGGUUGUGGAAUUCCCAGUGUAGAGGUGAAAUUCGUAGAUAUUGGGAAGAACACCGGUGGCGAAGGCGGCAACCUGGUCCAUGACUGACGCUGAGGCGCGAAAGCGUGGGGAGCAAACAGGAUUAGAUACCCCCGUAGUCCCUGUCUCUUAUAC
rnacentral:rRNA from 1 species